AUGAACGCUGGCGGCGUGCCUAAUCCAUGCAAGUCGAGCGAACAGACGAGGAGCUUGCUCCUCUGACGUUAGCGGCGGACGGGUGAGUAACACGUGGAUAACCUACCUAUAAGACUGGGAUAACUUCGGGAAACCGGAGCUAAUACCGGAUAAUAUAUUGAACCGCAUGGUUCAAUAGUGAAAGCCGGUUUUGCUGUCACUUAUAGAUGGAUCCGCGCCGCAUUAGCUAGUUGGUAAGGUAACGGCUUACCAAGGCAACGAUGCGUAGCCGACCUGAGAGGAUGAUCGGCCACACUGGAACUGAGACACGGUCCAGACUCCUACGGGAGGCAGCAGUAGGGAAUCUUCCGCAAUGGGCGAAAGCCUGACGGAGCAACGCCGCGUGAGUGAUGAAGGUCUUCGGAUCGUAAAACUCUGUUAUUAGGGAAGAACAAAUGUGUAAGUAACUAUGCACGUCUUGACGGUACCUAAUCAGAAAGCCACGGCUAACUACGUG
rnacentral:rRNA from 1 species